ACAAGCUUUUAUAGAACUCUGUUCC
rnacentral:piRNA from 1 species